AUUGAACGCUGGCGGCAUGCCUUACACAUGCGAGUCGAACGGUAACGGGCCUUCGGGUGCCGACGAGUGGCGAACGGGUGAGUAAUACAUCGGAACGUGCCCGAUCGUGGGGGACAACGAGGCGAAAGCUUUGCUAAUACCGCAUACGAUCUACGGAUGAAAGCAGGGGACCGCAAGGCCUUGCGCGGACGGAGCGGCCGAUGGCAGAUUAGGUAGUUGGUGGGAUAAAAGCUUACCAAGCCGACGAUCUGUAGCUGGUCUGAGAGGAUGAUCAGCCACACUGGGACUGAGACACGGCCCAGACUCCUACGGGAGGCAGCAGUGGGGAAUUUUGGACAAUGGGCGCAAGCCUGAUCCAGCCAUGCCGCGUGCAGGAUGAAGGCCUUCGGGUUGUAAACUGCUUUUGUACGGAACGAAAAGCCUUCUUUUAAUACAGGAGGGUCAUGACGGUACCGUAAGAAUAAGCACCGGCUAACUACGUG
rnacentral:rRNA from 1 species